AAUCGCGCGCAUGUAUAUUACGUCACUUCCUCUUCACCGCCAACAUUUGCGACGGUGGAGAGUUUUGGAUUUGAUUUCCGACACUUGGGUGAUCGGGUAUCCGAAACAGAGAUCCGACAACUGUAUAUUUAACAGCUGAUCGCCACAGUCGCUACUAUUCCACAAACCAUAUUCCAAAAACAUCAAUUCUUCUCUCAGUAACGGAUCUCCUCCUUCAACAGAGUCACCACGUUCAAAGGAUGACUGCAGUUACAACCUGAAAGAUGGAAUAUGUCCUGGACAAAAACUUUAACCGGGUCCCCAAUUGGUUUUUCUGUUUCUGGUCUCCCAGGACUUGAACCAGGGACCCUCUUACUGUGAGACAAGAGUGCUGACCACUGUGCAUCUCUAUUUUUUUUUUUUCUUUUUCUCAUUUUUUUUCACAGACAACAACUAAUGUUCAUCACAAAAAGGGAAGCAGUUCUCAGAGAAUUUUGUUGCUACCUGGGGGAAGAUGAUGGGUGUCUAAUUCAUGAGUACAAGGACAUCCACUGUGAUGACAUCCAGAGAGACACGGAGAAGCACAGCAUUGGUGUUUGUCAUCAAAAAGGAAGGCGCUGAAAGAGAAGAUCCAGCAGAUGUCGGCGUUUUCUUGAAGGUGUGAUUCUACUGGAAAACCUGAGAUCUCCAGCCAGAGCAUGAGCAGCAAUGCUUGGAGGAAUCUAUGCAGUGAACUUGGCUUACCCAGAAGAACUGAGAUACCAGUAUAAAUUCAUUCAGAAGGUGGUCAUGCAAAUGGAUGGGGAAAAGCUUUCCCCAAAAGUCCAUGGGUUCAAGAAAAAAACUUUGCACAGAACUCUGCAACACUGAAACCAAACUUCUGGAUAUGUCUGAGAUGUUGUAUGUGAUUUGAAGACUGUUGGACAAAUGACCAAAAAGCCUUAGAGGCUGCAAUACCCAAAAGUUGUUUUAUGUUGUGCUGUGGAAGUCUCUUUUGUUUAUAUCAACAUACUUUGGGAUUGUGGUUGCCAUUUUCACUGUUUUAUGAUAUUGUGUUGUAUAUACAACUGCAAAAUUCUUUCUUUGUUUAGUAUGAUGUUUCAUUUAUGUCAAAACUCCACGCAGAACGUCAUAGUUUAGAGAAUGUUUAUUUUUCACUGAGCUCUGCACUGAUUAUUGUUCAGUCAGAGUUGUGAUGUUGUAUUUACAUUUUUUUAUAUAAACUUGAGGAGACAUCUACUAAUUAAAGCUGCAUUCUUGUAUGCCGUUUUAAGUUUAAAUAACCUAAUAAGUCAUUUUGACUUCCGAACAGUAUGAUGACACGUUUAGAUUUGGGGUAUUGUUUAAACAAAGCCUGAUGAAUGUUAGUUUAAAGAAAUUGCUUGAUACCAGAUUUGUUUAAUAAAACAUUUUUGAUACUA